UGGCUCAGACGGUAAAGCAUCUGUCUACAAUGCAGGAGACCCAGGUUUGAUCCCUGG
rnacentral:tRNA from 1 species